rnacentral:rRNA from 1 species
AUUGAACGCUGGCGGCAGGCUUAACACAUGCAAGUCGAGCGGGGGAAGGUAGCUUGCUACUGGACCUAGCGGCGGACGGGUGAGUAAUGCUUAGGAAUCUGCCUAUUAGUGGGGGACAACAUCUCGAAAGGGAUGCUAAUACCGCAUACGUCCUACGGGAGAAAGCAGGGGAUCCUCGGACCUUGCGCUAAUAGAUGAGCCUAAGUCGGAUUAGCUAGUUGGUGGGGUAAAGGCCUACCAAGGCGACGAUCUGUAGCGGGUCUGAGAGGAUGAACCGCCACACUGGGACUGAGACACGGCCCAGACUCCUACGGGAGGCAGCAGUGGGGAAUAUUGGACAAUGGGGGGAACCCUGAUCCAGCCAUGCCGCGUGUGUGAAGAAGGCCUUAUGGUUGUAAAGCACUUUAAGCGAGGAGGAGGCUACUUUAGUUAAUACCUAGAGAUAGUGGACGUUACUCGCAGAAUAAGCACCGGCUAACUCUGUGCCAGCAGCCGCGGUAA